GUUCAUUAACUCGGAUUGCACGCCACCUAAAAAGAAAACCGGGGUGGGUCACGCCUUGUAAAAGCUGACAAAAAAAAAUACAACCUGUCGCACUUCUCUCUCUCCCUUCCCUCAAUCUUCUCUCUCCACCCUCUCCCUCCCAACCUUCUUCCCUCGAUUUUCUCUCUCUACCCUCUCCCAACCUUCUUCCUCAAUCUUCUCUCUCUACCCUCUCCCAACCUUCUUCCCUCAAUCUUCUUUCUCUAUACCCACUCUCAACCUUCUCUAUUUUCUCAUGCUAUCCUUAAAGCUCCUCCCUCAAUCGUCUCUCUUUCAGCUUUCUCUCUCUAAAUUUCUGGGUUUUUACCUCUUCCUCUAUUCUUCAUAGGAGAGAGCCAGCUUCUGAAGAGGUGCAUAAACGGAAGAUGGGCAGUGAAAGCUCGCCCUAACUGGUUUCCUUUUCUCUAUGGUGGAUUGCAUAGUCCUCCCCGUCUUUCUAUUAUGCUGAAUUGGAAGCACUUUAAUGAAGCAGUUCACCACUUGAUCGCUCAUUGAAGAUGUUGUGGCAUACAACAGCAGACGAUGAUGCUUUAUCGGGGAUAAGUGGGCUUCAAAUUGCUGGUGAUGCAUUCCCAGGAUGGAAGAUUCAAGCAUGUGGAUUCUCCAUAGAGCCUGAUUGUAUUUUGGUGUAAAACAUAUGAAAUAUUUGUGUCUUUAUUUUCUAUAUUUAUUAUUGCUAGUGUAGACUGGUUGAUCGAGUUCUAAGUGGAUUUUUUUCCUUGUUAUUGCUAAUUCAAAUGGUUUUUCGUC